GACGUGAAGGCGACGGCUUCAACCAUCCACUGCAAUCUGCUAGCAUGAUUCUGCUUUUACAGAACAUGUAGGCAUGCAUUGUUCUGGCCGAAUUCUGCUCGGCUUGGCUGCUGACCGGAGCAGAAGCGACGCCCAAGUCUGUGCUCAGAUUGAUGGGCAUGAAAGGCCUCACUCUGUACCAUCUGAAAAGCCACCUUCAGAAAUAUAGACUGCGAAGACAUGAAAAGAAAAGCACAGGGCUGGAACUUCCCAACAGUAGUGGUACGAACCUUGCACUUCCUCUCUUUCUGUCAUCAGGAUUUACCCAGUAAUGUUUUCCUUCUAGUCUUGGUACUUCGGCUCGUUCUGUCUUCAGGAUUUGCUGCACAAGGCCUCAGUUUUCCCACUCCAGCUACGGUAGUGGUAUGAACCUUGCAUUUAAUUUGUUGUGCAAGACAAUGGCAGAAGUUGAUAGGAAGAUACCUCAACUUGAUUUGAGGUUCAGAAAUCCAGAUGAGGGUUGGCUGUUUUGGGUGGCAUACGGUGGCCAUACUAGUUUUGAUAUGAGGAAAAGAUGCACAAAUGUAAGCAAAAUGGAUAGUAAGAUGACUUCAUGCAGAUAUAUUUGUUCCAAUGAAGGUUAUCGAAAAAAAGGAAAUAGAACA